rnacentral:rRNA from 1 species
UGGGGAAUUUUGGACAAUGGGCGCAAGCCUGAUCCAGCCAUGCCGCGUGCAGGAUGAAGGCCUUCGGGUUGUAAACUGCUUUUGUACGGAACGAAAAGGUGCCUUCUAAUAAAGGGCGCUCAUGACGGUACCGUAAGAAUAAGCACCGGCUAACUACGUGCCAGCAGCCGCGGUAAUACGUAGGGUGCGAGCGUUAAUCGGAAUUACUGGGCGUAAAGCGUACGUAGGCGGAUGCGCAAGUUGGGGGUGAAAUCCCGGGGCUUAACCUCGGAAUUGCCCUCAAAACUGCACGUCUUGAGACCGAGAGAGGUAAGGGGAAUUCCUAGUGUAGAGGUGAAAUUCGUAGAUAUUAGGAAGAACACCAGUGGCGAAGGCGCCUUACUGACUCGGUACUGACGCUGAGGUACGAAAGCGUGGGGAGCAAACA